rnacentral:lncRNA from 1 species
UCCAACAUAUUAUUCCCUUUAUUUCCAAAUAAAAAUGAACAAGCAGGAAUUGCACUAAACCAGUAAAUCACAAUCACACUAUUCAUUCCAAAGUUACAUUAUUCUUUUCCUCGUCCCCCUAAACUCACCUACUCACUUGUUCAAUGAUGAUGCAUCAAAACCGGGCACAUAUGCCCAAUCCAAAAAUAAAAUACAACAGAAAAGACAACACAAACAUUUAAUUUUACAACUUGAGGAAAACGAAUUCUUCAACAGCAGGAAUGUCUCCAAUCCUUUGCAAAGAUUCUUUGCGUGGUUGCUCAUCAACUCCGAUUGCCAUCACAGCUUGCUUGCGUGGAGCAAUCCUUCCAACACUCAUGAAGCUGACAUUCACA